ACAAAGUUAGCUCAGUUGGUAGAGCACUCCACUGUAAAUGGAGGGUCCCGGAUUCGAAACCCGGACCAGGCG
rnacentral:tRNA from 2 species